UACGAGGGGGGCGAGCGUUGUUCGGAAUUAUUGGGCGUAAAGGGUGCGUAGGCGGUUUGGUAAGUCUUAUGUGAAAUCUACAGGCUCAACUUGUAGUCUGCAUGAGAAACUGCCGGGCUUGAGUAUGGGAGAGGUGAGUGGAAUUCCUGGUGUAGCGGUGAAAUGCGUAGAUAUCAGGAGGAACACCUGUGGCGAAGGCGAGUCUCUGGACAUUUCCUGACGCUGAGGCACGAAAGCCAGGGGAGCAAACGGG
rnacentral:rRNA from 1 species